GGAAUAUUGGACAAUGGGCGCAAGCCUGAUCCAGCCAUGCCGCGUGCAGGAUGACGGUCCUAUGGAUUGUAAACUGCUUUUGCACAGGAAGAAACAACGCUACGUGUAGCGUCUUGACGGUACUGUGAGAAUAAGGAUCGGCUAACUCCGUGCCAGCAGCCGCGGUAAUACGGAGGAUCCAAGCGUUAUCCGGAAUCAUUGGGUUUAAAGGGUCCGUAGGCGGUUUAGUAAGUCAGUGGUGAAAGCCCAUCGCUCAACGGUGGAACGGCCAUUGAUACUGCUAAACUUGAAUUAUUAGGAAGUAACUAGAAUAUGUAGUGUAGCGGUGAAAUGCUUAGAGAUUACAUGGAAUACCAAUUGCGAAGGCAGGUUACUACUAAUGGAUUGACGCUGAUGGACGAAAGCGUGGGUAGCGAACAGGAUUAGAUACCCCUG
rnacentral:rRNA from 1 species